AAAGCUCAUGCAGGCCAGUGCAGGAGGGAGCACAGCUGUUUAAGUAUCAUUCAAUCCAGCAUGGGCUGGAGUUGGGCAAAGCACAGUAAGAACAAACAGCAGCAUAUGCAGCUCAGAGAUUUCAGCCUUCAUGUAGAAUUUCACGCUUUUAUUCUGCAGCAUCUGAAACAAGGAAGAGGAAUUACCCCAGCCCAAAAUAGCUUUUCUCAUCAAUGUUCUAUCCCUGAUUAAUUCAACAGUUACACAUUCCUUCCCUUCCAGAAACCCCGGCAGAUAGCUGGGCCACUGGCCAGCUUUGCCCACUAGGGUUCUCUGAGUAUCACCCCACCUCUCCAAGUGGGUCCUGUGGAUCAGAGAGCUAGCAUCUCCUACAGCUGAUGGAGGAACGGCCACACUGCCUUCUGGGCCCCCAGUCUGUGCUCAGCACAUAAG